rnacentral:rRNA from 1 species
UACAGAGGUCCCGAGCGUUGUUCGGAUUCACUGGGCGUAAAGGGUGCGUAGGUGGUGGGGUAAGUCGGAUGUGAAAUCUCCGAGCUCAACUCGGAAAUGGCAUUGGAAACUACCCUGCUAGAGGGUCGGAGGGGGGACUGGAAUACUUGGUGUAGCAGUGAAAUGCGUAGAUAUCAAGUGGAACACCAGUGGCGAAGGCGAGUCCCUGGACGACUCCUGACACUGAGGCACGAAAGCUAGGGGAGCAAACAGG